UGCCCAACAACUCCUAAUCCUACCUCCUCGCGGUACUGGCCGGGGUACGAGUAACCUUAGGGAAGAUCGGGUAACCAACCACCGGUGGGAACGUUGGUCGUAUGCUGACAGGGAAGG
rnacentral:ribozyme from 1 species